UAUGGCCAUAUCAUGUUAAAAUACCAGUUCUUGUACGAUCACCAAAGUUAAGCAAUUUAGAGCCUGGUCAGUACCUAGAUGGGUAACUGCUUGGGAAUACCAGUUGCUUCA